GUUCUUUUCUUUUUUCACAAUUUUUUUGUCACAAACAAUCGUAAGGGUUCGAUGGACCCGUUUCUUUCUCAGCCGUCGUCAUAUAGGAUCAGACCCUAGGGUUUCGAUUCAGUUGCUUUAUCUUCUUCCUACCGAUCUAGAAAUUUAACAGUUACAGAUUCAUCUUCUUAAAGUCUUCCUUAAAUCAAUUCUCCACGAUCUACAUUCAAUGCGAAAUUCGAUCUUGCAAAGCGGUGAAAGUUCGAGUAUAAAAGAUAUUAGACUCUUUAAUAUAAGAAGGUAUAUAAAGUUUGCGAACAGGUGGCUUUAGUGGACAUGACUAUCCUACCAAGGAUGGUGGUGCGGUAAACACCAGUCUCAUCUCAGACUCCGGCUUUCCGUUUUUUUAAUAAGAGUAGUGCAUGGAACGUCUGCUCCACUACCAAAGAAUGUCUGUGUUAAAAAUGGUUGCUGCUUUUAAAAAAGCUCCUGGCAAGAAAAUACCUAUCAAGCUUUGUCCGAGAAGGCCAGUAGAUGCAACUGCAGAGAGCUGAUAAAUAAUUAUGUAUCAAUUUUGAUUUCCUUUUACACCACAUCUCUUUAUAAUAACAUUCUUUUUGAUGCUUCUAACGAUUCUUUGGUUGGUUGGAUGCAACUUUAUUUUUAGCA